GGACAAUGUUGAAGACAUUUGCUCGCACUGGGCAAUCGGGUGCAGAUCAAACCCUAAUGCUGCGACGUCUUGGAGUUUGGCGAUGUUGUGCGUAGCAUGGACAACAAAAUGCUAUGCUGCAACAUUUCAGUGCCAAUGUGUCUGUUGGAGAGUUAUCCCUGCCAGGGGAUCUGUUACUCCCCCCUAGACACCCAGGAAGAUUUGGUGUUGCUUGACAACAGUUUGAGGCAGGAUAAAGAGCUCCAGCAACGAUUUCUUCGGUUUUUGGCAAUCAAAUGUGGGAGGGACCUAAAGACAACCGUGUGGCG